rfam:Sus scrofa isolate TJ Tabasco breed Duroc chromosome 1, whole genome shotgun sequence.
UUCCUGGUGGUCUAGUGGUUAAAACUCAGCGCUUUCACCACUGCAGCCCUGGUUCAAUCCCUGGUCUGGGAA